CGUGACGUUUCAUUAUGUUCUAUUUGUGUUCCUAUCUCAGUUUUCCACAACAUUAUGAUAUAAAGGUUGCCAUGUAAAUUUUUAAAAUACAUAAUAAUGUUUUAAGUUCUCGUGAUAAAUCUCGUUUUUUGUGCGUUUAUAUUUGUGCUGUGUUAUUGAAAUUUUAGUGUCCAGUGUCGUUUUCAGUGCUUAGUUAACUCACAAACAGCUUGAGUGCCUAUAUGAUUUUGAUGAACCAGAAUGGCCGGCCAUGUUCGCCGGGAACAAACGAAAGUCGUCAAACGUCAAAGUUAUGCAGCUGUUCCAUGAGCUAAAACAACAAUUCCCUACCAUUCCUGAUCAUAUUGUAACGUCCUGCAUAACUUCCUACAUCCAGUCAAGUGCUCAAGAAAAGAAUAUCGUAGAGUAUUUAGAAACAACUCUAGCAGACAGCAACGUAGGGCAGAUGGGACGAUCUUCUCAACAAUCGGAAUUACCUCCUCUAGAUAUUUCUCCUAACCCGCAAAUUGAAAACGUUUCGGCAAAAGCAAACCUGAAUACCGAUCGAACCCAUACCGAAAUGGACGAAAGUGGAAGUGAUGUUACUAAUCGAAAUACGAGUGAGAAAACAGAAACGACCACCAGAUCCGUAGCAAAACGACCUAAUUACCUUAAUAUAAAACCUAGUAUCAGUGAUAAAACAAGUGAAAAGAAAAAAACGUUCAAUAUUCAACUCUCCGAAAAGUGCAAAGACGUCCAUAAACUGCUCAACUACGAAUUAAGUGAAAAACCACCGCGUUCUCCCCUAAGUGCCAAAAGGUUUGCUUCCAAAAACUCUCCAACCAAACCGGAAAAACACCCCGAAGCCCAUAAACGUCCUAGCUUAGAGCCAACCGUUAAAAAAGAAACGUGCUCGACACCUACGCAGACAACAGAUACCUUACUAGGAAGUCCGAAUGUGAAUCUUUCAUUAAACGUAAAUUGUUUGGUUGAUGUUGUACGCAGUCCAACGCAACAACGACGUACAACAGCUUUACAAGUAACUCCCGCCCAACCGUGGUUACAAGCAUCUACAUCUCCGAGAAGCUUCACUAGUGUAAACUUAACUCUGAGGCCUCCAGCUUCAACUCCUCAAGAUCCUAUCGACAUUACCUCGCAGAAUUCCAGUUUAACGUAUUCAACAAGUAGUUAUGAUUCACAAAAAGGACUUCAGAGUAGAUUACAGAUCACCGUUGGACCAAGUAAUGGCAGUGUUUCGUCACUACGAAUUAGACCAAAUAGUUACCAUCUCGAAGAGCAACCAGAACAACAAGAAAUAGUUCCUGUUAGAGCUGGAUCUCUUAAUAACCUGACAGUCAACACAGAACCACCUGUAACUUUGAAACAGCAAGCACGAAUAGAGAGAUUGCGGAUAGAACUUAACACCGAAAAAGCCAAAUUAGUGAUAAUGCAACAGGAAAUUAAAGAAUUAGAGAAAAGUAGACUAGAAAGUGAAGUAAAUAUAGAAAUAGAGAGGCAGCUGCUACAGGAGAUAAAACAUCUUAGGUACCAAUGCAACGACUUGGAAUUAGACGGUGAAGCAUUUUAUAAUAACAUAUACACUGGUCAACAUAUAAAUGAAUUCCCCACUCCUCCACCAAGACUUCGACACAACAGCAGAAGACGUUUACCAUAUCAACCGCCUCCUGAUUUCGAAGGUCCGAAAUGGAACUGUGACGUAUGUACAUUCCUCAAUCAUCCCAUCUUGGACAAAUGUGAGCAGUGCGACUUUCCCAGAAUCCUACACGUUUCAGCAUCUCCUGGGGAUAACAUACAUAUUCAUGUUACACCAAGAAUACCAAGACGUAAGAUAUUCAUAAUUAUUUGUUAUUAAUCCAAUUGUUUGUGCAAAACUAACAUUCAACUUUAUGUAUAUCAGCAACAUAUUAUACAAUGUGUUGCCUCCAAAUUACUCCAUUAAAAUGUAUAUUAAAAAUUAUAUAAUAUAUAUCCACCAUACUAUUCAAACAUUUGAUUCAUAUUAAAAUUUAAAAAAGGCAUUAAAUUAUAGAAUAUUUUUUUCUCAUUAAAGUGUUUUGAUGCUUUGAAACUGUUAAAGAACUUACUGAGUUGGGAAGUGGAUGUUAAGAAGGGCGAAACAGCGGAAGUAGUCACUGCUUAGUUUUCACUAGUCCAGUUAUGUCAGUUUAUACCUUUUAUUUCCUGUUUCCAAAUUGUGUUAAGAAAUUAUUUUUUUGUAUAUUUAAAUGGACUUUGGCUGAAUUUUAUCAACCAAGAGAAACAGGCAUCCUGAACUCAUGCAUGAAACAAUUCGUAAAAUGUUACCCACAAUAUGAAUUAAAUUCUGUCAAUAUCACUCGAGACGGAAGCAAAAAAAGCUUAAAAAGCAUGCGCGUUACUGAGAUAUUUUCUCAUUCAAUCAUUUAAUGACUGGGCGGAGAGCGAGUUUUGAAUUGAUAUUAAGCUUAAACUCCUUCAUUUUAUACAAACCAAACAAAGAGAGAGUAGACACAAAAUUAUUUCUCUCUGCCUCAAAGAAAAUAUUAAUACGUAAUUGCAUCUGUGAAAAGUCUGUUUAAAUAAAAUGUCUUUUGUUAUCUGUCAUAAUCAAUGUUCACCAUAAAAAAAAUAGUAUAAAGCCAGACUGAAUCUAUAAUUGGCGCAGGGUGUUGCAAACUUUCUGUGGUUUCACUGUAACCUGGUAAACCGGUUUACCAAUCAAAUGGCCGACGAUAGAGAAUAAUGCAGCCGCAGCUGUACCUGUGCGCCUACCACUAAAUUUAAAAUGUACAAAAAAAUUUAAAACAAAUGAAAAAAAAAAUACAAAAUAUCCCCAAAGCGGAAAGAACCGUGUCGUCGCUUUUCCUCCUUUUAGCCAAUACAGCAAGCACAAUCCCACGCAACCACUAUAAUCCCAGCCCUGCAGAGGAGCAACUUUCGAUAUCAGGGCCAACUCCAACAAACAUUCCGCCUAUAAAAAAUUUCCCUUAUGCUGCCUAAAAAGUUUCCAACAAAUCUCUCUCUCUUAUAAUUGGCCCCAGUCUCUUUCACGCGCAAAGCAAAAGGUUUGAUUUUAUUUAUAUAUCUCCACCUUCGUUGAUGAAACAAAUAAUCUCAAUUAGAAAAAAAUCUAGCAUGCUCUCUCAAACAAUAAAUACACAAAUAAACAAGAAAUCCUAUGUUGAGAACAAUGAAAGACUUCAUAAUAAUGUAAUUAAAAAUUUGUUAAUUAAAUGGAAAAGUAUUUCAAAUGGAAGAAAAGUUGUAUAAGAUAAGUAACAGUUCAAAAACCUUCCAGAAUCGCACAGGUAUGGACGAAGGGUACGAUAUGAAUUAAACAGUUGUAAAUGAAUUGAUGCAUGGCGAGUUGAAAAAUUUAAUAUCAUUUUUGACUGUUAGCAGUUGAUUAUUGAAAAUUUCAACUACUUUUGUUGUGCAAAAUAGUGUAGUAAAAUAAAAUAAAAAUAAAAUUUUAUUACCAAAAGAUUGGUACACGGUUACUUUUCAACAUAAUCACCAAAGAGAUUGAGACGUUUGUAAUACCUGUGGACAAGCUUUUCAAUACCUUCUUCAAAGAACUUUGCCGCCAAUGAACUCAAGUUGAGUACAAAAUACAUCUUGAAACUUGAAAUUCCUUAGACAUAGGCAGUAAUGGUCAAUCUGUGGUUUUCUUUAACCAUUCUGUCAACUCAUGAACCAGGUCAUCUGAAACGACAGAUUUACGUUCUUGGUCCCCUUCAUCAUGCACAUCAUUACAGCCAUCUUUAAACUUUCGACAUCUCGCACAACAUCAUAAUUCAUGAAGUUUUCCCCAUACACACGACUCAUUCUCCGAUUAAUUUCUGCAGCACUAUUCCUUCAGUCUAUAAAAAACGAAUCAUUCUUCGUAAUUCACACUUGACGGGAGUAUCAGUAGUGGCAAAAAUGUUUACGUGGUUGCAGUACAACAUCGACUGGGUUUGUAGUGAGAGCAUCUGCACGGAGCGAUCGGAAAAAAAAUCGGCACUCGUAUUUUUACAUUUCUACUUUUAUUCAUAAAAAUGUAUUACUUAUCGAAACAAUAAGAAUAAUGAACUCUUAUUAUUAGGUUAACCCAAUUUAACGCCUUUAAGUUGCAUUAUGCAUGCGCUUAUCCCUCGAUCAAAACGCCAACCUGCACGCACAGAGUGAAAUAAUUAAGCGCCCGUGAAAUGAACCAUGUAAGAUCGUGAUUUCGACUUACACUUUUUAUAUACAAAGAUGAUUCUCCUUCCGUCUAUUAUCCAUGCUGCAAAGUUUCUUAUUAUUGAAAUCCCUCCAUUUGGGCUUCUCUGUAGUUAAAUUGAUGGGCCCCUUAAAAAAUUUAGAUAUAGGAUCUAACUAGGGCAAACUAUGCCCCUGAUAUUAACAUUUUAUAUAACGUAUGAUAUUCUGCUUAAUCAUGUGGUUAUUCAUGAGGUAUAUUGGAAAUUAUAUAGUUAUUUGAAUCCAUUCAAUUUAUAUUUACGAAAUAAAACGAGCUGGUAUCACUGAUUCGCCAUCCGAUGAAAAUGUAUCAAGGAACUAUUAGAUAGAGUCCAAAUACGUAAGUUAUCAACCAAAUUUCUUCUUGCUAUUAAAGAUUUCAUAAAAACCAUAUUUAAAGAACAUUAAUUAAUCUGUGUAAAUUGAUACCAUAUUGAGGGCUGGAAAAUGAGGGAAACUCCAUAUCUAUAAACCUUUGAAAUGGUGUGAUAGUUGGAAAUAAUUUGUGAUGUGUAGAUCAUUUAGCGCCGCUCUAAAUGUUCAUGCAGAUUAUAGUUAUGAUCACAGAACAUACCAAAAAAAAGGUGAACUUGUAUAUAAAUAUAGGCAACACAAAUUUAGUUCUGCCACCUACCAAUCGUGACGCUAGUGUAAUAAAAAUAUGUCAUUACUGUCAAUAUCAAUAUGUUAUUCAUCAGUAAAUAUAUUAUCAUUUCAUGAAAUUGGAAGAUAACAAGGGUUAAUGGAAUGGCCAGCAUCAUCAUCUAUUCAUGUCUUAUAGAAAUAUUUUGAUGGAAUCACACAUUCGUGGGUAUUAUGAAGAAAACAUGACUAAAUCAAAAGCUACCUUUAUAUUUUAUUUAUAUUUUUUUCAACCUCACAUUGCUCACAGAUAUUAAUCAAGCAAUUUUUUAAGUUAUAUUGUUAAGUUUCUGUAAAUAUAUUAUUUAUAAUAAAGUUUAAGGCAAAUGCUUAUUUUGAUAAAAAAAAACAUUUUCAAUUUUCUGUUACCUAAUAAAUUAUUUUCAGGAUA